UCCAAUACGCCUGCAAGAGAACUCAGAUUCCCGCGUUAGUGCUCAUUUGGUCCGGGACGAACCGCUAGAAACGUCCAAAAGUAGCGAAAAAAUAUGUACGUGCAUUACAACACGGUGCGCAACAAUAGUCGUUAUUUUUAGGGACAAAAUCGACACAAUGCUAAUCAACAUGACUAAUAUUGUGUAUUAUACAGGCGGCGUUAAAAGUUUAAAUCCCCAAAAUGUCCAUAAAUUGAGAGAAAUCAUUUCCCAAAAGGCAGCUCCCCCGUCUCGAAAACGUGUAUUACCUUCAAACGCGGUCGGGAAUAAUAAUGCGCCUUUACCGCUUUAAAUUAGUAAAUAAUUUUCCACGCGAUUAAUAGAAUGGUGUACGAUAAAAAAAAAAAAAAAAACUUUUAUGAUCGUUGAUUUUUAAUAUUCACGACGCGUCGAAAAAUAAACGCGCGCGAGUCCUUAACGAAAUCAAUGAGACGUCGGAAGGUUUAAGGCACUUUUGCGUUUUCGAGCACGUAAUUUUUUUUUUUUUCCACUUCAGAUCUCCGGACGCGAAUUUUUAAUAAUAUAUUAAUAUUAUGACACGGACCGGUGGUGCGGUGGUGGCAGAGGUAUUACGAUUCCGGUGGUCUCUCCGAUAAUACGGAUACGUGAAUAGCAUUCGAAUAGAGGAAACUAGGAUACCUUUACAAUAUGUUCGCGUUGAUCGGAAACGUAUUCGCGCGAAUAAUUACGAGAACAAAAAAAAAGAACCCAAUCGAAAUUCCGUGAUUUAAAAAUGAUUCUGUAUAGUAGGCUCGCGUGUACAUAAAUAACCUUAAUUUAAUAAUAUUACAUUCUGAAUGCAGCGAAGAAGUUAUUACAGUUUUAUUAAAAACGUGUCCUGCC